CUCCAGCCAAUCACAGGCAGCCUUGGCUGAAGGCGGGCUCGGCCUGGCGGUCUCUUGGCGCGCUGCGGCGGCUCGGGUCCUGGCCGGGCCCGUAGCUCCCCGGCCGGCUGCGCUCCGAAUCGUGCCCUCCUAGUUCAACUCUGCCAAGUUUGCCUGAAGUCCUUGUUUCCUCUGGGCGCACUAUGGGCUACCUCGUCCGGGGGCCGCGACCUGCGGAUGGAGUUCCGGGGGGUACAUCUGGGCAGGUGCUGAGGUGGUGUGCAUUGAAAAUCCCCAUUGAGAGGAGGCACAAGAGCUUCGCAUGCAAAUGACCAGCACAUCUGGAUUGGAAGGACUGUGACUGUGGAGGACAGAGUGUCAGUGGAGCCCAUAUUUUCUCCUGACCAUUCAUCUCUAAGCCGUCCUGCUAUUCCAGAAAGGACACAGAUGGCAGUGCUCCCAAACUCCCUCCCCAGGUGUCUGCUCACCAUCGUGCUCCUGCUGCUGACCUGCUGACUCAGGUCCUGCUCAUUCUCUAGCAGGUCACUUUGAAGUGCUUGGACCUCAGGAGCCCAUCCUGGUUUUCGUAGGUGAGGACUCUGAGCUUCGUUGUCACCUGACCUCUGGCUGAAUGCCGAGCACAUGGAGCUGUGGUGGUUCCGGAACACCUUCUCACUUGCCAUGUUGGUGCUCCAGGAUGGGCGGGAGCAGGAGGGAGAGCAGAGGUCCGAGUACCGUGGGACACAUGGCCCUGCAGAUACACCGCAUCAGGACCUCUGAUGAAGGGGUGUAUGAGUGCUCCUUCAGAGACAAGCAAGCCCAGGGAGAAGCCUUCAUGAAUCUGAAAGUAGCUGCACUGGGGAUCAAACCAGCUGUGUGCCUUUGAGGCAAGUGCUUUGCCACUGAGCUACUUUCCAAGCCCUGAAGUGCCAUUUUAUAUUGAUACCUCAGGCCCUUUGAAAUGAUGAGUUGUGCUGUACCCACUUCUGGAUUUCUCGGCUCUGAACUCCAAGCCUCACAUCACCAUGGAAGUUCAGGAGAGUGGAGAGGUCCAGCUGGAGUGCACCUCCGUGGGGUGGUACCCAGAGCCCCAGGUGCAGUGGAGAUCUACCAAGGGAGAGGAGUUCCUGGCCACGUC